AGGGGUAACAGUUCCGCUCCGGCGGAAGCUGACGACCGGCGCACGGGUGAGUAACGCGUAUGAAACCUUCCUGCAACAGGAGAAUAGCUCCCGGAAACGGGAAUUAAUGCUCCAUAAAGUUUUCAAGUGGCAUCACUUGGAGAUUAAAGCUCCGGCGGUUGCAGAUGGUCAUGCGUACCAUUAGUUAGUUGGUGAGGUAACGGCUCACCAAGGCGACGAUGGUUAGGGGUCCUGAGAGGGUCGUCCCCCACACUGGAACUGAGACACGGUCCAGACUCCUACGGGAGGCAGCAGUGAGGAAUAUUGGUCAAUGGGCGCUAGCCUGAACCAGCCAUGCCGCGUGCAGGAAGACAGCCCUACGGGUUGUAAACUGCUUUUCUGCCGGAAGAAAGUGCCGCAUUCGGUGCGUCAUUGACGGUACGGCAGGAAUAAGCAUCGGCUAACUCCGUGCCAGCAGCCGCGGUAAUACGGAGGAUGCAAGCGUUAUCCGGAUUCAUUGGGUUUAAAGGGUGCGCAGGCGGUGGAGCAAGUCAGUGGUGAAAGCCCGAAGCUCAACUUCGGGAUUGCCAUUGAAACUGUUUCACUUGAGUGUAGUCGAGGACGGCGGAAUGAGUUGUGUAGCGGUGAAAUGCAUAGAUAUAACUCAGAACACCAAUUGCGAAGGCAGCUGUCUAGACUAUAACUGACGCUGAGGCACGAAAGCGUGGGGAGCGAACAGGAUUAGAUACCCUGGUAGUCCACGCAGUAAACGAUGAUCACUCGUUGUUGGCUACUUGGUAGUCAGUGACUAAGGAAACCGUUAAGUGAUCCACCUGGGGAGUACGUCGGCACGAUGAAACUCAAAGGAUUGACGGGGCCCGCACAGCGGAGGACAUGUGGUUUAUUCGAUGAUACGCGAGGACCUUACUGGCUUAAUGCAGCUGCAUUCCCUGAAAGGGGAUUCCUACGGACCGCCUGCAGGGCUGCUAGG
rnacentral:rRNA from 1 species